ensembl:lincRNA
AUCCCAGAACUUUGGGAGGCCGAGGCGGGCGGAUCACCUGAGGUCGGGAGUUCGAGACCAGCCUGACCAACAUGGUGAAACCCCGUCUCUACUAAAAAUACAAAAUUAGCCGGCCGUGGUGGUGCAUGCCUGCAAUCCCAGCUACUCAGGAGGCUGAGGCAGGAGAAUUGCUUGAACCCGGGAGGCCGAGGUUUCGUUGAGCAGAGAUCACACCAUUGCACUCCAGCCUGGAUAACAAGAGCGAAACUCCAUCUCAAAAAAAAAAAAAAAAAAGUAAAUCUUUUGUUGUGUACAAAAUCACAUAGAAGCUAUGUUCCAGUUUGUUUGCAUAUGUCAGUCAGGUCAGAUAGAAUUCUAUUUACUAGGAUGUCAUCAACAAUCCACUCACACAGAGCUGGGGCCCUGUCCCAAAUUAAUGCAACCGUAAGAUGAAUUGCUUAAGAUGGAGAAACUUACAUGUAUUUAUGAUUUUGGAAACUCUUGAGGGCUUGUCUUAUACAUUUCAGGCUGAAGUAAAACUUCAGAGACAUUUCUCCCCAUAGUAUAUUGUAAAAUCAGAGGCCAGGCAGAAAAGAAGUAAAAGGCUAGGAUGAGGAAGUCAGUAGGGGCGGGGCGGGGGGGAUCGUUAACACCUAGAACAGUGCGAAGAGGCCACAGGAAACGGUCCCCUUCGGCCAUCCGGACCAGGGUGAGGCACUAGGGAAACCCAACGGGACACACCGCUCUCAGACAGGAAGAGUUGCUGGCUGUAAACAACUCAGGCUGUCUUGUCUUGUGAGAACAGUUACAGAAUGGACACCACGAGGGCAACGGACUUCUGAGAUAAGUAAACGCACCUCUCCUUGGCCACUUAGCUCCUCAAAAGGCCCCAGGGCCCCACCCUUCCUAGGUUGCCUUCCCAGAGUGCCUCGCGCCUUUCCCGGCGUGCCCUGCUGCCGCUCCCCAAGCUGCUCUCCCGGAGGCCUCGGGGCGCCCCUCCGCCAUCUGCAGCUCCCUGCAGACUUGCAGGCUCAGACGGGAGCUGUCCACCGCCUGCAUCAGGAAAAGGGCUUGCUUGCGUGUGGUAACCACCUUCUUCAACGCCCAGCCCCACCUGGCCCUUCUGGAGCCUUUCAAGCCCAUGGAUCUGACUUUGGAGUACAAGAUGGAGAAAAGACAAGAUGUAUUACUCAGGAUGGGUAAUGAGUAUGUCAUAUACCAAGAGAUCUGGCAUCUAUGAUCAGGAUUAAUGUUUUUUAUCAUCACCCUGUGUUUGAUCAGAGGUUUUUGUUGUUGUUGUUUGUUUGUUUUUAAUGUGCUUUUAACGUCUAAUGUUAGAAAAGUAAAUUCCUGGAAAAUCAGUUAAAGGCUGGAUUAUUUCUCCAUUUUGAAGUAUAGGCUAAGGAUAUUUUUACCAGAGCUUGAGAACUUAUUUUAUAAUAAUACCCAGAUAUUUCCUGAGGGAAUAUAGUAUUAAAGAUUUUGACAGUAAUAACGAGAACAGAAGUGAAGAAAAAUACUGUUUUUCCUGCACUAUAUAUCCUGCUCUGUAUUUUAAAGAUAAAGUAAUCUACUGGAAAAGAUGUCGAUGUAAGAAAUUAAAGUCUUUAAAAACAAGCUCUAAAC